AUAUCUCUCUGUACGGGAAGGAUGAGAAGCUUCGACCAAGGUUCGAUUCGAGCGCAGCGAGAAAGCGUUGCCGCAGGCAACGACCCGAAGGGCGAAGCGCGCAGCGCUGAGUAAUCCUUCCCCCACCACCA
rnacentral:sRNA from 16 species